GCCAGAAUGGUGCAGUGGUUUGAGUGCUGGACUAUUACUCUGGAGACCAGGAUUCGAGUCCCCACUCGGCCA